AGGCACAGUGAAGCCACAGAGCCAGAGUCGCUGCAGCCCCCGCUGCACCAUUGACAAGCCAGGACUCACACGGUCAACUCCUCGGGCCUAGAAAACAGCAGAAAGGGAAAGACAUAUGGAGCACAUCCUGGCCUUGGUCUGUGAUCAAUGGGGACGUCCAGCCGCAGAGAUGUAGGGCUGCAGUGAGGUUCCUGAGGGUGAAGAAGUCUGUUCUCUGCAGACAGCUGAGGAGAGAAAAGCAGAAAGUGGUGAAGUAUCUGAAGGAGAAGAGGAGAGGAGCAUGCCUGCUUCGAGCUCUGUGUGAGCAGAUGAGGAACACACUUAAACACAUGCCUGGGAACACCUGGAGGAAAAAUGGCUUCAUCAACCAGAGUCUUGCAGGUGAAGUGUUCUCUCUCAUCCUGUGUGCUAUGAAGCUGGGGUGGCACCAAUGAGCCUGAAAGCUACAGUGCAGAAAAGGCAAGGGUUCAGAACUCAGGCUGCUGUGGUCCCCAAGAUUAGCAACUGUGGUCAGCAGUGGGUGAUGCCAUGUGUACGACUAUGUCUUAAAACCACCUUCAGACCAGAGAUCCCACACUUCCUAAUUUCCUAAAAUUCUGUCACUGCAUGGACCACAUGUAGACAGGUAUAUAAGCAUUUAUAAUCCAACGAGGGAGAGCACACUAAAAGACUGAAAAAAAAGAGAGAGAGAGAGAAAGAGAAAAGACCCAUCCUGCUCUGAAUUUUAGUGGGUGUUUUGUUGGAAGAAAGUGAAAAUAAGAAUAGACAGAAAAGGCAAAGGUAAGAAACCUAGAAAAUAAAAAAAAAUCUGAAAAUCAGAGAAAGUUAAAAACAUAAAGCAAAACCACACAGGAGAAAGAAGAAGAAAAGGGGAAUAACCAAAGCAAAUGAGAAUAUCUGAGAGACAAGAAAAUCCUUUAGGCACAGCUAAAAAUAGAAAAAGUAGCUCUUUUUAUACAUCUUCAUUUAGGAGAUUAUCUGAACACUGAGAUUUGAGGCAUCUGACUUUGAGGUAUCAUGUGUACAUAAAAGUAAUCAAAUGAGCCAUUUAAGCAUGUUUCCUUGAAAUAAAAUGU
rnacentral:lncRNA from 1 species